AGAACUGAACACACGAAUAGUCGAAUGAUGGGGUAACGCCCUGAAAGGCUACUUUAAUACUCCGACUGGCAGAAUUAUGAGUAAAUAUAAGACUGUCAGAAGCUCGGUGAAGUCGGCAAAGAGAUACCGUAACAGAUAAUGCUGACGAAAAAUACCCAGAGGUGGGUGUCGUAUCCCAUAUGCCGGAAGUCUAUAAA
rnacentral:ncRNA from 1 species